ACAAUGAAGAGUUUGAUCCUGGCUCAGGAUGAACGCUAGCUACAGGCUUAACACAUGCAAGUCGAGGGGCAUCAGGAAGAAAGCUUGCUUUCUUUGCUGGCGACCGGCGCACGGGUGAGUAACACGUAUCCAACCUGCCCUUUACUCGGGGAUAGCCUUUCGAAAGAAAGAUUAAUACCCGAUAGCAUAAUGAUUCCGCAUGGUUUCAUUAUUAAAGGAUUCCGGUAAAGGAUGGGGAUGCGUUCCAUUAGGUUGUUGGUGGGGUAACGGCCCACCAAGCCUUCGAUGGAUAGGGGUUCUGAGAGGAAGGUCCCCCACAUUGGAACUGAGACACGGUCCAAACUCCUACGGGAGGCAGCAGUGAGGAAUAUUGGUCAAUGGGCGCUAGCCUGAACCAGCCAAGUAGCGUGAAGGAUGAAGGCUCUAUGGGUCGUAAACUUCUUUUAUAUAAGAAUAAAGUGCAGUAUGUAUACUGUUUUGUAUGUAUU
rnacentral:rRNA from 1 species